UUGCCCUCAAAGCUUCUCUUGGUUGGACUGAGGGUGGAGUAAAGAGGUUACUAUUGGCUAUAUUGAUAUGAAAGACAGCUAUCAUUCACUAAGUUCCACAUUUUCAGGCUAAUUUGCAAACUUUGAAUUAUUUGAAUUAAAGGAUGUCCUCUGUGACUGCUACUAAAGUUGUCUUGAUGUUUAAAAGACGAAAUGAAAGUCUGGUGUCGGCUACACUCAGGAGCCCCAGAUUGUGUGAGAGUAGAGCUUCCUGCUGCUCCCAGUCCCUCCUCUUCAUCAGCUCUGAGUACCGGCCCUCAGCUGCUCUGAGCGCGUGCUGCCUCCUUCCUCCUAAUCCUCCUCCAGUGUCCACUCUCCUGCUCCCAGGAUGGCAGACCCCAUCCCCACGUGACUCUCUUGGAAUCCACAUCUCCAGGCACACUGUCCCAUGUGUGUGCAGUCAGCACACUUUGGUACAGAAUGAAGAAAAUUGUAUGAAUUAACCCAUGUUCAGUAUUAUGCCACUAUUAUCUGUAGACCAUCAGAAAAUGAGAGCUAGGGUCCUGUAAAUAAUUGUGGAAGAAUUAAAACCUUAUGUAUUAGACCUUAAAAAGAAAAUGCAGAGAGUUAUGGCUAGAUUUAUUUUGGUUCAAUUUAAAAACUGUCAAAAUAGACUAUGGAGUCAUACCUCUAAGUUCUCUUUUAGACUAAAGAAGAGAGUUAGACUGAGCUUCAUGUUUUUAUUUCAAGCUGAGUUGACUCAUAUAGAUGAAUAUCUCCUUUUGGACUGAGACUUUUCCAUGAACAAAAUUUCAUUUCCAGUGUAAUAACACAAAAGAAGCAUCGAAGCUGUGACAUUCUCUGAUGCCAAGAAUAGAAGGGAAGUUUUUUAGUGGAAACAAAAUUGAGAAAAGUGCAGAAAGUGACAAUUCUGACCUAUUUACAGACCUUACUUGCAGGAAGGUGCUGAGAACAGCUGGAUAAAGCCUGGCACAACCUGACAUCUGCAGCAUCACCAAGCCCACCAGAUGCCAACCCCUUCCCUGAUGACAUGGAGGGUGGUGUUCUCCAGCCCUGGAGAAUGGUGAUCAUCACCAUUGCCACCCUCUGAGAGACCAGGAAUCCCCCAAACUCAGCACUUCUGUGAAACUGAGGGCUACAGCUCAACAAGGUGCUCUAAGCUGCCUUCCCUGCGCCCCAGCUACCGGGAGGGCACCACAGAACUCCCUGUAACAGACCAACUGGCCUUGCUCGCCCAGCACACCUGUCUCCAGGUCCAGCGCCUCGAACUCCAGCACCAAGUCCACAGGGAGAACCGGAGAGUCCCUGUAGGCAGGAGCCUCCAGCUGAGCUAGGUGCUGCUGGGGCCCAGGGAGUGCGUGGCGCCCCAGGAGCAGUGACUAACCUUCCUUUUCGGGCCAGACUGCCCAGGGGAGCCUUUCAGUGGCUUUGCUCAGAGCCUUUGAUUUCUGCACCUGCCCCUGCAUACAUCCUCACCUUCCUGGGUGGAGAUUUUAGCCAGAGCAGUUUCACUGGUGCCUGUUUAUGCUGUGAUUGAUGGCUGUAAAUCUGAGCAUGUUGCGGUAUGUUUUCAGAUUCCAAGUUGUUUUUGGGGAAAAAGACUAAUUUGGAGAAAGGGGAAAGGCAUCUACAUUCUGGACAGUAAUCUAGAUAUUGGGACCAUGCAGUGGAAAGACUUGAGGACAAGACAGUCUUACAGGAGCCCCUGGGGAAAGGGGAAAUGAUUUUAUUUAAUAUAAAUGAUAAUUUCUCCUGCAACGUUCAAGUAGUUGAAAAAUAUUUUUAAAUGUAUAGAUAAAUCUUAAACUCACACCAAGUUUAAAUAUUUUCCUUAUGCCAAAACAAGACUUUGAGUUCCUGGCUUCAGUGGAAGCAAAAUGAUCUGUAAUGUUUUCAAAAUUACUUCUUUGUUCAUCUCAGUUCAAUUGAGUAAAAGCCAUAUUUGACAAAUGUAUGACCCAGUAACUACCUUAAGGAAUUAAUGUCCAUUUUCAAAAUCUUUUUUUCUUCUCAUUUCUUUUAACUAAGGAUCUUAUGUUAAGCUUUCAAAUUUGUACAUAGUUUUUCAUUGGAGAGUUUUAUUAACUUUUUAAAAAUUUCAUUUCAUAUAGAUAAGUUGCUUUAAAAUUCAUAAUCAAGAUGUUUUUUAUUUCAGCAUAAUGUAGGUUUACACUUAAUAUACCAUUUGCUACUUAAUAAGCAUCUUAUAUGCCAAAUGAACUGAUUGCAUGUUGAUCUGAUGCCUGCUAAAUAUCUCAGUGUGCUUGGUACAGUCAUAAGUUAUUUUAUUUGUUAGUAAAAUUUCAAGAUGUGUAGAUAUGGUUUGUACAAUACUAGAAAAGAUUAACGUAUUCUAAUUUGCAGAGGUAGAAUUUUUGCAUUAAAAAUUAGAGCUGAGUAAGGCACAGAUACAGCAUAAUCAUCUUUAGGGUAGACAUGAAAUAAUGGCGAAACCUUUGUAUACACCUGUCACAGUAACAACUCUCACAGCUGUUUCAUGUGUCCGUGAUGCUUUAUAUAAUCUACUCAUGUAAGAUAAUUUUGUAAGUUGUUUAUAUUAACGUCAUAUAGAGUACAUAACAUGAGAUGGUAUAUUGAAUGGACUACAGUAUUCCUGUUAUCCCUAUUUUGUUUUUAAUUGGAGAAAAAUUGCUUUACAAUGUUGUGCUGGUUUCUGCUGUACAACAAUAUAAAUCAACUAUAAAUACACGUGUAUCCACUCCCAUUUCCCUAUUUUAAAGCCGAGAAAACUGUAGCAUAGGACAGAAAAAUCUACUGGACUAAAUGAUGCAGGAAAUUGAGGGAGAACUAAAGAGAUGCCCAGAUAACAAAUAUACUGGUCACCUGAGAAGACAAGAGUAACCCACAAAGAAUGCAGCAAGAUUGUUGUCUUCAAACAGUUUAACUGGUAAAACUCUUUUAAGCUUAUCAUUAUUAUUAUUAUCAUUAUUACACUUAAACUUUUAUUGACAACCCUGAGGACCAGUAGUAUCCUACCACUGUGCAGGAUGCUGGGUGGGAAUAGGAAAUGGAGACUUGCUCCUGCUCUGGGGAGUCACUUCCUCCCCAUUUAAGGGACUCUCAGUUAGAAGGUCCUGAUGGAGGAUGUGUGUAGGGGAGGGGUGUUUAAAAUGAAAAGAAAGACUUUGAUCUUGGAAACUACAGACUAUAAGAAAUUCUUAAAAUAAUAAAAGUUGAAAUAUGGUAAAUGUAUAAAUUGGU
ensembl:lncRNA